rnacentral:rRNA from 1 species
UUGGAGGGCAAGUCUGGUGCCAGCAGCCGCGGUAAUUCCAGCUCCAAUAGCGUAUAUUAAAGUUGUUGCAGUUAAAAAGCUCGUAGUCGAAUUUCGGGGUCAGUAGGUUGGUCAUGCCACUGGUAUGUACUGGUCUCACUGAUUCCUCCUUCCUGAUGAGCCGUAAUGCCAUUAAUUUGGUGUUGCGGGGAAUCAGGACUGUUACUUUGAAAAAAUUAGAGUGUUUAAAGCAGGCUAACGCCUGAAUACAUUAGCAUGGAAUAAUGAAAUAGGACGUUCGAUCCUAUUUUGUUGGUUCCUAGGAUUGACGUAAUGAUUAAUAGGGAUAGUUGGGGGCAUUAGUAUUCAAUUGUCAGAGGUGAAAUUCUUGGAUUUAUUGAAGACUAACUACUGCGAAAGCAUUUGCCAAGGAUGUUUCCAUUAAUCAAGAACGAAAGUUAGGGGAUCGAAGACGAUCAGAUACCGUCGUAGUCUUAACCAUAAACUAUGCCGACUAGGGAUCGGAUGAUGUUAAUUUUUUAAUGACUCAUUCGGCGCCUUACGGGAAAC